UUUUGAACCAAAAGUACUGUGUUCGGCCGAUAAAAAUUGCGCCUGCAUUUUCUUUAAUAAAUUUCUUUUUAUCAUUCUAAACUUUUUUCAUAUAGAGAGACGAGGACAUUUGAUCUGCCAACUGAAGUACGUACUCCAAAUUCAGUAAAAAUAAAGUCGUAAUUAGCCUUAGCUAUUUGGUCUUCAUAUGUUAGCCAUGAAUAAAUAGACCUGCAGACACACGGGACCAAGCAAAAAAUCAUGCAUUAUAAGUUAGGGAGAAAAAGUAAGGGCAAAAUAGAUCGGUAGACUUUUAUAUUUGGCCUGGUUUGUAAAGUGGAUAUUUCUACUUAGCAAUUUAUCAUUGAACCCUUCAACUCAAUAAAACUCAAUAUUUUAAACCCCUCUAAUGGUGUGUGUAACACAACUGCCCCACGUCAGCUUCCACGUUAUUUUUAAGUAUUACAUUAAAUUUCAUGUCCCACGUCAUCUUCCACGUCAUUUUUAAGUAUUACAUUAAAUUUCAUAUCAUUUUUAAAAUGCUACAUAAAAAAAUAAAUAUUAAAAUAAAUUUUAUUCAAUAAAAAAAAUAAUAAAUUGUAGAAAUUGUAAUGUACAAACACAAUAAAUUUUUAAUUCAAAUUAAUUUAAAUUUUCAACUAUAAAUUCUGAACACAAAGACAAUAAAUUUUUAAUUAAUUAAACAUCAAAUUUAUUUUAAAUAAUUAAAAUUUCUCUUCAAUUAAUUUAAAGUUUUAACUCUAAAUUCACACGCACAAACAUAACGAAUUUUCAAUUUUGAUAUUUUUUUUAUCAUAUUUACAUUAAAGCAAUUAAAAAAUAAUUAAAAAAAUAAAACAAAAGUCACCGGCCCACCUCCCCCUCCCCAGCAUCAUUGCAAACCCCAUUUCCUCACCUGACGGUACCUUUCCUUUUUCCAUUACCCUUUUUCUCUACUUUUCUCGAAAAUAGAACACUUAAUUCAAUCCAAAAUUAAUUUCAGUUCACAUCCUAAAUGCAUCUUAAAUUUUAUUGCCACACAAAUCUUGAAAUUCACUAAAAGUGUGUUCACUUUGAAGCAGCAGCUUGAAAAACGAGCUUGGAAAUGGGCAAGAAAUGGGAACUAAAAUAGUUCACGUAAUGAAUUUUCAAUUUUCAUCUUAAUGAAUUUCUUUAAAAAAAAAAAAAAAGUAAAAUGAUGGGGGCUGUUGGGGAUGGGGGAAGGAGAGUGAGGAAAAUAGAUCGAGCAGCCAUGGGAACUAACCUCAAUUUAAAAAUAAGGGGGAGGGGGCACUGCAGUGGUGCUGGUGGGGCGCUCUAUUGUUGAUGGCCAUGGCAGCGUUGG
rnacentral:lncRNA from 1 species